AACGAACGCUGGCGGCAUGCCUAACACAUGCAAGUCGAACGAAACCUUCGGGUCUAGUGGCGGACGGGUGCGUAACGCGUGGGAACCUGCCCUUAGGUUCGGAAUAACUCCCCGAAAGGUGUGCUAAUACCGGAUAAUGUCUUCGGACCAAAGAUUUAUCGCCUUUGGAUGGGCCCGCGUUGGAUUAGCUAGUUGGUAGGGUAAAAGCCUACCAAGGCGACGGUUCAUAGCUGGUCUGAGAGGAAGAUCAGCCACACUGGGACUGAGACACGGCCCAGACUCCUACGGGAGGCAGCAGUGGGGAAUAUUGGACCAUGGGCGAAAGCCUGAUCCAGCAAUGCCGGGUGAGUUGUGAAGGCCUUAGGGUUGUAAAGCUCUUUUACCCGGGAUGAUAAUGACAGUACCGGGAGAAUAAGCUCCGGCUAACUCCGUG
rnacentral:rRNA from 1 species